GCUAAUAUCACUGCAGUACACGAUAGACCAUCAGCCCAAUAAACUGGGAGAUCAACCAGAGGUAUGAAUAGGCUAAUAUCACUGCAGUACACGAUAGACCAUCAGCCCAAUAAACUGGGAGAUCAACCAGAGGUAUGAAUAGGCUAAUAUCACUGCAGUACACGAUAGACCAUCAGCCCAAUAAACUGGGAGAUCAACCAGAGGUAUGAAUAGGCUAAUAUCACUGCAGUACACGAUAGACCAUCAGCCCACUAAACUGGGAGAUCAACCAGAGGUAUGAAUAGGCUAAUAUCACUGCAGUACACGAUAGACCAUCA
rnacentral:lncRNA from 1 species